rnacentral:rRNA from 1 species
AACGGAAGUGGCUAGCGUUGUCCGAAAUCACUGGGCGUAAAGCGGGCGUAGGCGGGUUACUAAGUUGGAUGUGAAAACCAGCUGCUCAACGGUUGGCCUGCAUUCAAAACUAGUUACCUUGAGUCUGACAGAGGGGAGCGGAACUUCUGGUGUAGCGGUGGAAUGCGUAGAUAUCAGAAGGAACACCAAAGGCGAAGGCAGCUCUCUGGGUCAAGACUGACGCUGAGGUCCGAAAGCUAGGGGAGCAAACGGGAUUAGAUACCCCCGUA